AGGAGAGACUGCUUAGCUAGGGACCGGGAGGAGUUAGAAGUAUUCCGGGGGGAAGCGGUAAAAUGUUAUAAUCCUCGGAAGACUACCUGUGGCGAAAGCGUCUAACCAGAACGGAUCCGACGGUCAGGAACGAAAGCCAGGGGAGCAAAACGGAUUAGAUACCCGAGUAGUCCUGGCUGUAAACUCUGUGAGCAAGGUGUUGCAUAUUCUACAUGAAUGUGCAGUACCGAAACGAAGGUGUUAAGCUCACCGCCUGGGAAGUACGGUCGCAAGACUGAAACUUAAAGGAAUUGGCGGGGGAGCACUACAAGGGGUGCGGCGUGCGGUUUAAUCUAAUUCCACACAGAGAAUCUCACCAGGAGCGACGGCAGAAUGAAAGUCAUGCUGAAGACAUUACUUGACGAGCCGAGAGGUAGUGCAUGGCCGCCGUCAGCUCGUGCCGUAAGGUGUCCUGUUAAGUCAGGCAACGAGCAAGACCUGUAUCCACAAUUGCUAUCGGAUCCUCUAGGAUGACUGGGCACUUUGUGGGGACUGCCUCGGAAACGAGGAGGAAGGUGCAGGCAACGGUAGGUCUGUAUGCUCCGAAUCUCCUGGGCUACACGCGCGCAACAAUGGUAGGGACAAUGGGAUACGACUCCGAAAGGAGAAGUUAAUCCUCGAAACCCUAUCCAAGUCCGGAUUGAGGAUUGUAACUCAUCCUCAUGACGAUGGAAUCCCUAGUAAUGAGACGUCAUCAGCGUCCCGUGAUAUGUCCCUGCUCCUUGCACUCACCGCCCGU
rnacentral:rRNA from 1 species